rnacentral:rRNA from 1 species
GAUGAACGCUAGCGGCAGGCUUAAUACGUGCAAGUUGAGGGACAGCACAGGUAGCAAUACUGGGUGGUAACCGGCAAAUGGGUGCGGAACACGUACACAACCUUCCUUUAAGUGGGGGAUAGCCCAGAGAAAUUUGGAUUAAUACCCCGUAAUAUAGUUGAAUGGCAUCAUUUGAUUAUUAUAGCUACGGUGCUUAAUGAUGGGUGUGCGGCGGAUUAGAUAGUUGGCGGGGUAACGGCCCACCAAGUCUACGAUCAGUAGCUGAUGUGAGAGCAUGAUCAGCCACACGGGCAUUGAGACACGGGCCCGACUCCUACGGGAGGCAGCAGUAAGGAAUAUUGGUCAAUGGACGCAAGUCUGAACCAGCCAUGCCGCGUGAAGGAUUAAGGUCCUCUGGAUUGUAAACUUCUUUUAUUUGGGACGAAAAAGGGCCUUUCUAGGUCAACUGACGGUACCAGAUGAAUAAGCACCGGCUAACUCCGUGCCAGCCGCCGCCGUAACAC